rnacentral:lncRNA from 1 species
CGCCCCACCGCCCCGCGGCCACCCGGCCACCGCCACCGCCUCCUCCUCAUCAUCAUCAUCCUCCUCCUCGGGGCGGCGCGGGGACGCCGCGGCCUCCACCUUCUCCUCGGGGUGAGACGUGGCCUCCACCUUCUCCUCGGGGUGAGACAUGGCCUCCACCUUCUCCUCACGGUGAGACGUGGCCUCCACCUUCUCCUCAAGGUGAGACGUGGCCUCCACCUUCUCCUCGAGGUGAGAUGUGGCCUCCUCCUUCUCCUCAGGGUGAGACGUGGCCUCCACCUUCUCCUCAGGGUGACAUGGGGACACCAUGGCCUCUACCUUCUCCUCAAGGUGAGACGUGGCCUCCUCCUUCUCCUCAGGGUGACAUGGGGAUGCUGGGGCCUCCACCUUCUCCUCACGGUGAGACGUGGCCUCCUCCUUCUCCUCGAGGUGAGACGUGGCCUCUUUCUCCUCCUUGGGGUGACAUGCAGUCGCCUCCUCCUCCUCUUCCUCCUUGGGGUGACGUGGGGACACCGUGGCCUCCACCUUCUCCUCAGAGUGACACGGGGACAUCGUGGCCUCCACCUUCUCCUCAAGAUGAGACGUGACCUCCUCCUCCUCCUCCUUGGGGUGACGUGGGGACGCCGUGGCCUCCACCUUCUCCUCGAGGUGAGAUGUGGUCUCCUUCUCCUCCUCCUUGGGGUGACGUGGGGACACCGUGGCCUCCACCUUCUCCUCAAGAUGGGAUGUGGCCUCUUUCUCCUCCUUGGGGUGAUGUGCGGCCUCCUCCUCCUCCUCCUCUUCCUCCUUGGGGUGACACGGGGCCUCCUCCUCCUCCUCAGGGUGACACGGAGACACGGUGGCCUCCUCCUUGGAGUGACGCGGGGACGCCACGGCCUCCACCUUCUCCUCGGGGUGACACGGGGACCUCAUGGCCUCCUUCUCCUCCAGGUGAGAUGUGGCCUCCACCUUCUCCUCGAGGUGAGAUGUGGUCUCCUUCUCCUCCUCCUUGGGGUGACGUGGGGACACCGUGGCCUCCACCUUCUCCUCAAGAUGAGAUGUGGCCUCUUUCUCCUCCUUGGGGUGAUGUGCGGCCUCCUCCUCCUCCUCCUCUUCCUCCUUGGGGUGACACGGGGCCUCCUCCUCCUCCUCAGGGUGACACGGAGACACGGUGGCCUCCUCCUUGGAGUGACGCGGGGACGCCACGGCCUCCACCUUCUCCUCGGGGUGACACGGGGACCUCAUGGCCUCCUUCUCCUCCAGGUGAGAUGUGACCUCCUCCUCCUCCUCGGGGUGACACGGGGACGCCGUGGCCACCGUCACCUCCUCGGGGCGACGCGGGGACACCACGGCCUCGGCCUCCUCCUCUUCUUCCUCCUCCUCCUCCUCCUCCUCCUCGUCGCCGCCCGGGUGACGCCCUGGGGACUCCAUGGCCGCCUGCGGGGGGGCGGGAAGGGGCCACGUGGCUCCUCAGGCCCCGCCCACACACCCCAGAAGGGGCGGGGCAUGGAUAACACAUACCCCCCCCCACCCCCGCAGCACUGGGGGCCUGGCCUCUAGGCCCCGCCCCCUCCAAAUAAGCCACGCCCCCUCAUAGAGCAUCACCCAACCACGCCCCAGCUGUUCUCUAAGCCCCGCCCCCCGGGUAGAAGCCACACCCACCGGCUCCAUAGCCCCGCCCCAUGGAGGCAGGUGUCACCGGGAGG